CCGAGUCUGAUUUCUGUGUAAAGAUGUCAAGCCGGAGAAAACUAAAUUUUUAUUUAUUUUUAAAUAUAGGAUAUGAUGCAUAAGCAGGUAUAGGGUUCUAGGGUGGCUGACAUGGAUAGGGAUUUUAUAUAGUAGGACUCGGUGUAAAGCAUGGAGAAUAAAAUAUAGCUUAGGGUGAAGGGAUUUUUGAGUGUAAAUCUAUUGUCUGAUACACACUCCGGAGCAGAAAGUGGCGGUAAUUCACCAAUAAGCUGUGUACCACCCGCUGUAAAACAAGAAGACGGUAUAUCCAAUCACAUGCGCAUGUUGCUGUGACGUGAUCUUGGAAGAAGGUCGUUGUGAUUUCAAAUUCUCCGUGGGAAAAUCUGGCGGCGUUCAAGAGCAGAGUUCUCUACAUUUGGCCCAACAGCUCAAAUGGAAACUAGAGCACAAGAUCAGAAUGAAGCUCCCACACAUGGCCUUAUGACUGUUGCCCCAGUGAAGAACCCGAGGUCCAGCCUUCCCCACUCAAGACAUGCCUGAGACAAGAGUGACUGUAUUCCAAGUUGAUCCAAGGCCGGGUCUUUUCCUUUCUCCCUGUUUGUGUUAGAUUCGACAUCUUUGGAGGAAAGUGGAUUUCUUCUGCUGCUUCUCUGCGCUACUACAGUGGUGGUAGAGUUCAGCAGUUGUGGCGAGCCAAGCUAAUUGAUGGGACGAUUCUGAAAGAUCUGAACUGUUGCUUUCAUCUGAAAUCCUGAAUGUCUGAUAUAAGUGAGAGCAUCAAGGACGCAGUCAUUUCUGUCCUGCCAAGUGUGCCAGAAGAAAUGAUCUUACACCAGGGAGUGGAAAGCAAAGAUGACUUGCAGUACAUAAGAGAACAGGAAAUUGCAGAGGUUAAUCGACCAAUCCAGUGCAGAAAACAUUUAAAUGCAUGGAAAUGAGCAGAUGCCAUAAGUUGUGCUACCCCCCUACUCCAGUCCCCAGAAAGCGGUUCAUCACUGUCAAGCUCCUUGAGAUCCAGUAGCCCUUCACAAUCACAUUCCAUACGGCCACCAGUAAAGCAGAAAUGGCCAGAAACGUUCCAGGUACCCUUGGAGAAAGUGCCACCAGGUAUUUGUACUGCCACUGAAAGUGGGAUAAUGUCCUCACCAGCAGAUAGAAGGCAAGUGGUUUGGGUCUUGGUGGACAAAAUGAGAAAGUUUGAGGCCAACCCUUCGUGGUCGCAGUGCCUCAUAAUUUCUGUCAAGAUUGUCAACGAGUUUCCACAGUCUUUCGCUGACAUGAUAGAAGGGAAAUGUAUAGGGGGAGGAUAUUCAUCUCUCCUGAGUCAAAUAAAAAUUCAUGUUGAGCAUUUAAACAGAAAUAACACUUUCUAUGUUGCGGUUAAGUAUAUGUUUAAACUAAUAAAAAGCAUGUUUUCAAUGUACAAAAAUGCCAAGUUACUCAAAAGUAUUGAUAUCAAAAUGACAAAAUACAAAAUAUUUUGAAUUGCCUCAUGGAACACAUUGAAAUUAAUGUACAACACUGCUGCUGAGAACUACAGAAAGCAUUUUUCUCCAGAAAACAUGUUUGUACUUGCUUCUGAACUGAAAUUCAGUACAUGUGCAAGUAAUUGUAUAUCUGCUGCAUACAAUAAAUUCUGCAUGUGAAAUACAUAUUGUACAUA